rnacentral:rRNA from 1 species
CAGUCGAGCGGUAACAUUUCUAGCUUGCUAGAAGAUGACGAGCGGCGGACGGGUGAGUAAUACUUAGGAAUCUACCUAGUAGUGGGGGAUAGCUCGGGGAAACUCGAAUUAAUACCGCAUACGACCUACGGGAGAAAGGGGGCAACUUGUUGCUCUCGCUAUUAGAUGAGCCUAAGUCGGAUUAGCUAGAUGGUGGGGUAAAGGCCUACCAUGGCGACGAUCUGUAGCUGGUCUGAGAGGAUGAUCAGCCACACCGGGACUGAGACACGGCCCGGACUCCUACGGGAGGCAGCAGUGGGGAAUAUUGGACAAUGGGGGAAACCCUGAUCCAGCCAUGCCGCGUGUGUGAAGAAGGCCUUUUGGUUGUAAAGCACUUUAAGCAGUGAAGAAGACUCUUCGGUUAAUACCCGGAGACGAUGACAUUAGCUGCAGAAUAAGCACCGGCUAACUCUGUGCCAGCAGCCGCGGUAAUACAGAGGGUGCAAGCGUUAAUCGGAAUUACUGGGCGUAAAGCGAGCGUAGGUGGCUUGAUAAGUCAGAUGUGAAAUCCCCGGGCUUAACCUGGGAACUGCAUCUGAUACUGUCAGGCUAGAGUAGGUGAGAGGAAGGUAGAAUUCCAGGUGUAGCGGUGAAAUGCGUAGAGAUCUGGAGGAAUACCGAUGGCGAAGGCAGCCUUCUGGCAUCAUACUGACA